ACCGAGCGCGUCCUCGGCAGGGCCGACGACCUCGUCCUCCUCGUCGAGUCCCUGCACGCCAAGCUCACGGCGCGAUCGACGGCCUCGAAGCCUUCGUCGUCGGCGCCGUGGGGCAUCCGCUGGGGCACGGCGGUGGUGGCGGCCGAGCACGGGGGAGCUCCCCAUCCCAUCCACUGUCUUCCGUUUCGGCCUAGCUCGCCCUCCGCUGCUUUGCCCACUGCUGCGCUCGCCCGCCACCGCUCCUCCGCCGCGCUCGCAUAUUGUGUUUUAGUGGCUGGUUGCAGGAAGCAGGAACUUGAGAACUUGGAGGUCGUCACGGUGGGCGACGGCGGCGGUGGCGGUGGCAACACCAUUACCGUGCAUGGCGAAAAGGCUCCCAUUGACAGCAAAGGAGAGGCAGCGACUCCGGCGAAACGCGCCGACGUAUCAGGUGGCCAAGAAUGCGGCGUGGUCCGCGUGGAGGAUGUACAGCGGGACACGGAGAUCGUGAAGAAUAAGGACCAGGAGAGAGGAGGCAGCGAGAGGGAAGAAGAGGAGACCGUCGCCAUGGCCGGCACGGGGAGCAGGGAGGAAGCAUUGCUGGUUCUCUUCGAUACAGCAUGGCAACAGGGGAACCUCCUUACCGGUGGGAGCGGCGGGACGGCGGGUGCGCAUGCACUAACUCGUGGCCGCGGCGGGUCAGGGAGGCAGGCGACGCCGCCGGUCGCUGGGCUGCGGCGGCGGAUGGAGUCGCGUCGUCGGUAACCGCCGGCGG
rnacentral:lncRNA from 2 species